rnacentral:rRNA from 1 species
UACGAAGGGGGCUAGCGUUGUUCGGAAUUACUGGGCGUAAAGCGCGCGUAGGCGGCUUUGUAAGUUAGAGGUGAAAGCCCGGGGCUCAACUCCGGAACUGCCUUUAAGACUGCAUCGCUUGAAUCCGGGAGAGGUGAGUGGAAUUCCGAGUGUAGAGGUGAAAUUCGUAGAUAUUCGGAAGAACACCAGUGGCGAAGGCGGCUCACUGGACCGGUAUUGACGCUGAGGUGCGAAAGCGUGGGGAGCAAACAGG